rnacentral:ncRNA from 2 species
GUGACCACAGUCCGUUAUGGUUCUGACGUCAUCAUCGAGGUAAUGGGAAGUCGGUGCAAUUCCGGCGCGGUCCCGCCACUGUGAGGUCGUCCAUGCGUCGACCGUAGCCAGAUACCACCCUCGUUGACGUUGUGUCA